rnacentral:rRNA from 1 species
AACGAACGCUGGCGGCAUGCCUAACACAUGCAAGUCGAACGAACCCUUCGGGGUUAGUGGCGCACGGGUGCGUAACGCGUGGGAAUCUGCCCUUGGGUUCGGAAUAACAGUUAGAAAUGACUGCUAAUACCGGAUGAUGUCUUCGGACCAAAGAUUUAUCGCCCAGGGAUGAGCCCCGCGUAGGAUUAGGUAGUUGGUGGGGUAAAGGCCUACCAAGCCGACGAUCCUUAGCUGGUCUGAGAGGAUGAUCAGCCACACUGGGACUGAGACACGGCCCAGACUCCUACGGGAGGCAGCAGUGGGGAAUAUUGGACAAUGGGCGAAAGCCUGAUCCAGCAAUGCCGCGUGAGUGAUGAAGGCCUUAGGGUUGUAAAGCUCUUUUACCCGGGAUGAUAAUGACAGUACCGGGAGAAUAAGCUCCGGCUAACUCCGUGCCAGCAGCCGCGGUAAU